rnacentral:rRNA from 1 species
GCGCACGGGUGAGUAACGCGUAGGUGACAUGCCUUUUAGUGGGGGAUAACAUCGGGAAACCGGUGCUAAUACCGCAUAUUCUGUGUGCCAUUAAAAAAGCACAGCAAAGGGGGCUUCGGCUCUUGCUAGAAGAUUGGCCUGCGUUGCAUUAGCUUGUUGGUGGGGUAAUGGCCUACCAAGGCGACGAUGCAUAACUGGUCUGAGAGGAUGAUCAGUCACACUGGAACUGAGACACGGUCCAGACUCC